UACGAAGGGGGCUAGCGUUGCUCGGAAUCACUGGGCGUAAAGCGCACGUAGGCGGAUUGCUAAGUCAGGGGUGAAAUCCUGGAGCUCAACUCCAGAACUGCCUUUGAUACUGGCGACCUUGAGUCCGGGAGAGGUGAGUGGAACUGCGAGUGUAGAGGUGAAAAUUCGUAGAUAUUCGCAAGAACACCAGUGGCGAAGGCGGCUCACUGGCCCGGUACUGACGCUGAGGUGCGAAAGCGUGGGGAGCGAACAGGA
rnacentral:rRNA from 1 species